rnacentral:misc_RNA from 1 species
GCGAAGGAGAAGGUGGCGUCGGGCUUCCCCUUGUAGGGACCCUUGGUGACUUGGCCCUCCUUGAGGUCAACGACGUAGAUCUCCUCGUCAACGCCAAGCUUCUUGGGUGCGAUAUGGAGCUCGUAGAUGAGACCGAUCUUUUUUACGAGUUCCUUGCCGGCGUCGGUGGCGAGGUGGAGUUUCAUCUGAUCUAAGAGGGCGGCGGAUUUAAGC